CCUACGGGUGGCUGCAGUGAGGAAUAUUGGUCAAUGGGCGGAAGCCUGAACCAGCCAAGUAGCGUGCAGGAUGACGGCCCUACGGGUUGUAAACUGCUUUUAUACGGGAAUAACGCGCCUUACGUGUAGGGCUUUGCAUGUACCGUAUGAAUAAGGACCGGCUAAUUCCGUGCCAGCAGCCGCGGUAAUACGGAAGGUCUGGGCGUUAUCCGGAUUGAGUGGGUGGAAAGGGAGCGUAGGCGGCAUGUCAAGCGUCCUGUGAAAGGUCCGGGCGCAACCCGGGCCUUGCAGCGCGAACUGGCGUGCUUGAGUCCGCGGAAAGCAGGCGGAAUUCGUCGUGUAGCGGUGAAAUGCUUAGAUAUGACGAAGAACCCCGAUUGCGAAGGCAGCUUGCUGCAGCGGAACUGACGCUGAUGCUCGAAAGCGCGGGUAUCGAACAGGAUUAGAUACCCUAGUAGUC
rnacentral:rRNA from 1 species